UUUUUUUUUUUUUUUUUUUUUGCAAAAAUCUGAUUUUUUUUUCACUUCCAUUUUCUUUCUUUUCCUUUCUUCACUUUCCUACAAAAGAAAACCAAUUAAGUGAAAACGAUUUCAUUUAAACAACUUAAAAAAAUACAUAACAAUAAAAAUAAAAUGAAAUGGUAAAAUUUUGGUGUCUACAAGAAUCAAAGGAAAACAUAAAUUCACGAUAAGAUAAAAAAAAAUUUAAUAAAUAAAAAUAUUAAAGUUAUAUAAAAAAUAAAAAAGAAUUAAAGGAAAAAAAUAUAGAAAAUAGAUUUGGGUAUUGAGCGAGAUCAAUCCAAAUCCAUCUCAAAGUGAUCCCGUCCAAAUUAGUCCCAAAACCCAUAUGAUUUGGUUUCAUUUUAAAUCCAAGCUAAUCCCGCCCAUUUUGCCACUUCUAUAAUUAAUAAUGGGAUAGUGUUUUUUUUUUUUUUGGUUAAUUACUAUCAGUACAAGUGAUUGAUUAUUGUGCAACAAAUGUGUUAAAAGUUUUGCAAAAUUUAAAAGAAAAAACUAGAUAACACCAAAUGAAGGCAAAAGGCAUGUUAAGAAUUGAAAUCAAUCCAAAUCAUAUAGAAAAGUGAGGAACACAGAGAAAUAACAAAAAUAUUGAAUCAACUAUUAAAGAACAAAGAAAUUCACGAACUUGGAAUUAAUUCCACGGAACGAAUCAGUCAACAAGCAUAGACAUGAUGGUUAGGGAUGGCAACGGGGCGGGGGACCCCUCCCCCGUCCCCCGCCCCGUUGCCUAUUAGUUCCCUCCGUCCCCCGCCCCGUCCCCCGCCUCCCGCUCCCCCCGCCCCGCCCUGCCCCCGCCCCGCCUUGCCCCGCUUCCCCUGCGGGGUUAAUAAAAUGUUAUUAUAUAAUUUUAUUAUAAUUAAAUUUUAAUAAAUAAUCAAGUACUAAAAUAUCAACACAUCACCAAAUUAUUAUUCAUUAUAAUUUUACAAUUGAAACUCAUAAAAAUAAUCAAACAGAAGUUAUUUAAAUACAAUCCAAUAUGAUAAAAUAAAUAUAACUAAAAUAGUCAAAUUUUCACUUUUAGUACAAAUGCAAUCACUAAUUCAUCAUUGUGUUUGUGCUUUUUUUUGAGAAAAAAAGUGUUAUUCUAUUAAGUGUAAUUAGAAAUUUAGUAUAAAUGUAUUAGUAAAUUUAGUAUAACUAAUUAAUAAAUUCUAUUAGUAGACAUGUAUAAUUAUUCAUAUAAUUGAUAAUAUCAAUUAUAUUACAUAAACUAAUAUACAUUAUAUAAUACAUCUAACUAAUAAUAUCAUUAUCAUAAGUUUAUAACUAAUUAACUUACAUAUAAUAUAUAGUCAUUUAUAUAUAUAUAUAUUUUUGCAGGUGGCGGGGCGGGGGAUGGGGCGGGGGAGUAUACCCCCGCCCCCCGCCCUGUUUCUAAGCGGGGGGGAAAAAUUCCCCCCGCCCCCGCCCCGUGAGCCCCCCACGGAUUAAUAUAAUAAAGGUAAUUUGUGUACCUUGUUUGAGUGUGGAUUUUUUUAUUUUAGAAAUCUACCGAUUGCUGAAGACAAUUUUCUGUUUGCUUGAAAUAUGUCGUUGCCAUGGUUAAAGAUUAAAAGAGUCUUUGUCGUUGCUAAAGAUUACAAAAGCUUUUUUAUGUGUUGGUCAGUUAACUGCAUUCUCCAUGUACAUUUUCUGUCAAUCCAUUUGAUAAAUUGGAGCUUUUGCCAUCCCUUUCUUACCAGAGAUGCUCAAGUCAGCUAGUAGUUAGAACCCCCCUUGCAAAUCACACGCCCAAGAUUUUGUGAAUAUGUCCUCAAACCAUUCAUUAUACCACUUAUCCAAAACGCAAUAAAACUUAAUUGGCAGUUAUUGAAGUUCUUCAUAGUUCACACACACCAAGUGAAAAAAGAAAGGGGGUGAGAUCACCCUACCCUGCUAAACACAAUAAAUGGCAGUCACCAUCCAAUUUCAGUUGCUGAGUUUUGAGAAGGUGACAUCUUUGAUUAUGAAUGGAAAAAUUACAGUUCAUAACCUUCGAUCCGACCUCUGAAUUACAACAGUCAAAUGAUUCCUAGCUGCCAAAAGUUCCAGAAUUGGGGGGGUAUAAAAUGAAUACAUGCACCGGCAUUUAUUCAAAAUCAAAUAUCUGUUGCUUAUGUCCUCAGUGCUUUCCUUCAACUCUUCAAGGAGGACUUCUCACUUGUCUGUCCAUCCUAGUGUUAGGAUCA
rnacentral:lncRNA from 1 species